GUGGGGAAUCUUGGGCAAUGGGCGCAAGCCUGACCCAGCCAUGCCGCGUGUGCGAAGAAGGCCUUCGGGUUGUAAAGCACUUUCAGUGGUGAAGAAAAGCCAGGGGCUAAUACCCCCAGGUCUUGACGUUAGCCACAGAAGAAGUACCGGCUAACUCCGUGCCAGCAGCCGCGGUAAUACGGAGGGUACGAACGUUAAUCGGAAUUACUGGGCGUAAAGCGCGCGUAGGCGGUUCGGUAAGUGGGAUGUGAAAGCCCUGGGCUCAACCUGGGAACUGCAUUCCAAACUGCCGGGCUAGAGUAUGGUAGAGGGAGGUAGAAUUUCCUGUGUAGCGGUGAAAUGCGUAGAUAUAGGAAGGAAUACCAGUGGCGAAGGCGGCCUCCUGGAUCAAUACUGACGCUGAGGUGCGAAAGCGUGGGGAGCAAACAGGAUUAGAUACCCGAGUAGUCC
rnacentral:rRNA from 1 species